UUGUUUGGGUUUCUUCUUCUGUGUGUUUUCUUUCGUGUUCGUGUCUCGUGUUAAUUUUAGAAAAAAUUUAAUUCAUUUCAAUUCAGUGACUGGUGGCAAACGGGUGAAGUUGUUUUUUGUAAGCGGAACGUUCUCGUCAAGUCAAUGCUGUUGAGAGUUCAAAUAAUAGUAAUAACAACAACAAGUGAUUAAUUUUAUGUUUCUUUUCCUUUUUUGCUUUCUUUGCAAAAAAAAAUAAAUAAAUAACGUGGGAAGCAAAGUGCGGCAAGUGUUGAAAGAGUCAAAAGAGAAAAUCAUUUUUUGAAUGUGAAAAUGCCAAUGCCAAAAAAAAUUAAAUAAAAAAGGUGUUGUGAGAGUGUUACAGAAAAUUUAUUGUGUAUUUAAAGAAAUCGCCAAAAUAUUGAAGCAUUUAUACCUAAAGAGUGUUUAAAACAAAAUCCCACAAAAAGAAAACAACAAACCUAAACAGUGGCUGUAUAAAUUAUUUUCAAAAUAUUGCCAAAAAAAAAUAAAUUAAAAUAAAAUGUUUAAAGAAAACAACCCACCUGUGAAAUAAAAUUCAAAAAAAAACAACAA